rnacentral:rRNA from 1 species
AUACGGAGGAUGCGAGCGUUAUCCGGAUUUAUUGGGUUUAAAGGGUGCGUAGGUGGAGAGAUAAGUCAGUGGUGAAAGUUUGCGGCUCAACCGUAAAAUUGCAGUUGAUACUGUUAUUCUUGAGUGUACAUAAGGUAGGCGGAAUUCGUGGUGUAGCGGUGAAAUGCUUAGAUAUCACGAAGAACUCCAAUUGCGAAGGCAGCUUACCGGGGUACAACUGACGCUGAGGCACGAAAGUGUGGGUAUC